GGAGGGUAUAGCUCAGUGGUAGAGCGCAUGCCUAGCAUGCACGAGGUCCUGGGUUCAAUCCCCAGUACCUCCA
rnacentral:tRNA from 1 species